rnacentral:lncRNA from 1 species
AUUUCAUCUAAAAAUUUAAACUGCUUGAGAGACACCAUCUAUAUAUUCAUUUAGAUCUUUCAUAUUGAAAUGCCCUUCAUGAGUACACUACAUUCAUUCUCUUAUCAAGUUCAUACUUGGUUCAGUUAAAAAAAUGAUUAAAAUCUAUUUUAAUCACAUAUUUCAUAGAAGUUACAACUUCUUAGUCACAAAUUCUACCAGCUUUUUUUCAAAAUUUACUAAAAAUUUGAUUUUUAUAUAAAUCAAAUUGAGGCUAAAUGUCUAAUACGUUCACUAUUUUUCAUAAAUGGGUGGGUGGAUAUUUGAAUCCAAGUAUCCAUGUUUGAGACUUUAUUUUACACAUAAACCUAAAGCUUUUCUCUAUUUUUAUAAUAGUAAUUUUUUUUUAAAAAUAGAGAAAAGCUUUAGGUUUAUGCGUAAAAUCAUUUUGUGAGAGAAUGUAUGAUUGAAAUAAUUAGUGAUUGAUAUUAAAUUAAAUUAAAAUCACACAUUUCAUACAAUUCACAACUUUUCAACUACAUAUUCUACCUACUUUUAUCAAAAUUUACUAAAGAAUUAAUUUUUAUUUGAACCAAACUGAGCCUUAAUUAAUGUCUAACAUGUUCACCAUUUUCAUAAAUGGGUUAGUGGCUAUUUGAAUACAAGUAUCCAUGUUUGAGACCUCUUUUUUGGGGGAGAAUGUGUUUUAACAUAAUAAUUUUUUGGAGAAUGUGUGGUUAAAGAAGGGAAAAUAUUUUUAUUUAUGUGUAAAAUUAUUUUGUGAGAAAAUGUGCUGUUGAAAAUGAGUUUGAAUAAGUGAGAUUUGAGAAAAAUGGUGGUCAAACAUGGGCGAAAGUAUACACAAUACUGACACUCACUUACAAGCUAAAACUAUUUGAUAGAGUCCACAUUAUGCCAUUGAAUUUAGGCUUUUCAAUUUUAUUAAGAAGUUGAAAUUAAGCUUCUAUUUCAUUCAAUUAAAAAGUUGCAUUAAAAUUAAAGUAAAUUAUUAUCGUACAUCUCAUAAAAUUCAUAACUUUUCAACCACAUAUUUUGUCAACUUUAUCAAAUUUACUAAAAAUCUUAUUUUUAUCUAAACUAAACAUGUGCUAAAUAAAUAGUUGGUUAACCUAUAUCUUACGUGUAAAAAUAGAGAAAAUAAGAGGUAGAUUUCUCAACCUAUAUCUUACCUACUUGACAAAAAUUGUCCAUAUGAAAGUUAAAAUUGCACUCAACUUUAAUGUGACCUAAAACUUCUAUGUUGAUGAUUUUAGUCAUGAUGGUCCAAAUUCACUCAUUGAAUAAAUUAGGGAAUCAUAACCUCGCUUUUUGAAGGUUGGGGAACCCAAAAUCACUCCAUUCGGAAAGUUGAGAACUCAUAACUUCAUUUUUAUUUUUUUUCACUUAUAAGUUAAAAAAAUAACAAUUAAUAAGUAUUCGAUAUUCAUUUUUAUUUAUUUAUAAAUACAGUCAUUUAUAAAUACUUUUCAAGCAAGCUUAAAGUCCACUAUGAUAACUUUAACGUAUGAAAUAAUAUGAUAAAUGGUGUCGUGAGUAUUUUAGUAAUGUGUAGAUAUUGAUGGUUGAUGCAACAGUUUGAGUAGACAAGUUAGCAUGAAAAUAGUAGUGAGUAGAAAAUGUGGUUUAGAAGAUUAAGAAUAGGAUUUGUACGGAAAUUGUUUAUUUUUGCCUAACUAUAUAAGUAUACAACCAACUCAAUUGUUUAUACUAGACUCUAGCCUUGUUUCACUUUUAUUCUUCUUGUUGAUAUAUUUUGUACCGGGUAUUAGAUAAAAGAUAGUAUUAUAUACAAUAUUUUCAUUUCAUUUUCUUCUUUGAUAUUGUUAAAUACGUUAAUUAAUGUUAUACGCAUUGGAGAUCAUUCACAUGUGAUGUGACGAAUAUUGUGGGGUGAAAUAGUUGAGUCAACUAAUGUAUGAACAAUUUUUCUCUAUUUUUUAUUUAUACAUUCUCCAAAUAAUUACUAUUCAAAAUAUAUUUCCCCCAAAAAAUGGGGCUCACGGCUAAAUACUAUGG